CAUAUCUCGAACCUCGAUCCCAAAUGCUGCCUCUGAAGAAGGAGAUGAAGAUGACUGGGCAUCCAACAAAGUUAUAUUUAAAAUAGGUGACCUUGGGCAUGUAACAAGGAUCUCCAGUCCACAAGUUGAAGAGGGUGAUAGUCGUUUUCUUGCAAAUGAAGUUUUACAGGAGAAUUAUACCCAUCUACCAAAAGCAGAUAUUUUUGCGCUUGCCCUCACAGUGGUAUGUGCUGCUGGUGCUGAACCUCUUCCCAGAAAUGGAGA